rnacentral:rRNA from 1 species
CCCUUAGAUGUCCUGGGCCGCACGCGCGCUACACUGAGUGUCUGAGAUACGAGUCUGCCUGGUCCGGCAAGGUCUAGGUAAUCGCUAAAAGACACAUCAUGCUUGGGAUAGAUUAUUGCAAAUAUUAAUCUUGAACGAGGAAUUCCUAGUAAGCGCAAGUCAACAGCUUGCGUUGAUUACGUCCCUGCCCUUUGUACACACCGCCCGUCGCUACUACUGAUUGGAUGUUUAAGCGAGGUUCUCGAACUGCUAGCGACUUAGCUUCGGUGAGGUCGCAGUGUGGGAAGUGAACCUAGCUUUGGUGUCUAGAGAAAGUAAAAGUCGUAACA